GUCCAAGAAGAGGCUAAGAUGCUAGUGAAAGCUUUCAGUGAAUAUGGAGAUUCAGUUGUCAAUCCCAAAGAAUUGCUUUGCAAUUGUGUUGGCAAUGUGAUCUGCUCCAUAGUCUUUGGGCACAGGUUUGAAAAUGACGACCCAAUGUUUCAGCUCAUCCAAAAGGCUGUUGAUGCCUACUUCAAUGUCCUCAGCAGCCCUAUUGGAGCGAUGUACAACAUGUUCCCUAGAAUUGUUUGGUACUUUCCAGGCAAUCACCAUGAGAUGUUUGGUAUCAUAAACAAGGCCAAAGAUUACAC